rnacentral:rRNA from 1 species
AAAGAUUAAGCCAUGCAUGUAUAAGUUUAAUCGUUUAUCGAGAAACCGCGAACGGCUCAUUACAAUGGCCAUGAUUUACUUGAUCUUGAUUAUCUAAAUGGAUAACUGUGGAAAAGCUAGAGCUAAUACAUGCACCAAAGCUUUGUCCUCUCGGAAAAGCGCAUUUAUUAGAACAAAACCACGCGGCUUCGGCUGCUUCUUGUUGACUCAGAAUAACUAAGCUGACCGCAUGGCCUUGUGCCGGCGGCGUGUCUUUCAAGCGUCCACUUUAUCAACUUGACGGGAGCAUAAUCGACUCCCGUGGUGGUGUCGGAUAACGGAGGAUCAGGGUUCGACUCCGGAGAAGGGGCCUGAGAAAUGGCCACUACGUCUAAGGAUGGCAGCAGGCGCGCAAAUUACCCACUCUCGGCUCGAGGAGGUAGUGACGAGAAAUAACGAGACUGUUCUCUUUGAGGCCGGUCAUCGGAAUGGGUACAAUUUAAACCCUUUAACGAGUAUCAAGCAGAGGGCAAGUCUGGUGCCAGCAGCCGCGGUAAUUCCAGCUCUGCUAAUACAUAGAAUUAUUGCUGCGGUUAAAAAGCUCGUAGUUGGAUUCGUAUCGGUAUCCUGGAACCCUCCGGGUGUUUCUGGGUGUUAUCGAUUUAUCGUAAUGUUCGGUUUUGAGUCCUUAACAGGAUUCUUAACAGGCAUUGCAAGUUUACUUUGAACAAAUCAGAGUGCUUCAAACAGGCGUUUUCGCUUGAAUGAUCGUGCAUGGAAUAAUAGAAAACGAUUUCGGUUCAGUUUUAUUGGUUUUACGGACUGAGAUAAUGGUUAACAGAGACAAACGGGGGCAUUUGUAUGGCCCCGUGAGAGGUGAAAUUCUUGGACCGUGGCCAGACAAACUACAGCGAAAGCAUUUGCCAAGAAUG